AGGUCCUGCCUGCCCAGUGACUAAGUUAAACGGCCGCGGUAUUUUGACCGUGCAAAGGUAGCGCAAUCACUUGUCUUUUAAAUGAAGACCUGUAUGAAUGGUGGAACGAGGGCCUAACUGUCUCCCUUUUCAAGUCAAUGAAAUUGAUCUGCCCGUGCAGAAGCGGACAUAAAGCUACAAGACGAGAAGACCCUUUGGAGCUUAAGAUUAAAAAUCAACUAUGUCAAGCAUUUAUUAAAUAAAACCAAAUAGUAACUGAUCAUAAUCUUCGGUUGGGGCGACCACGGAAUAAAAAUAAACUUCCACACGGACUGAGGAAUAACCUUAAAACCAAGAAAGACAUUUCUAAGACCCAGAAUUUCUGACCCUACAGAUCCGGCAGACUGCCGAUCAAUGGACCAAGUUACCCUAGGGAUAACAGCGCAAUCCCCUUUUAGAGUUCCUAUCGACAAGGGGGUUUACGACCUCGAUGUUGGAUCAGGAC
rnacentral:rRNA from 1 species